UACGAAGGGGGCUAGCGUUGCUCGGAAUCACUGGGCGUAAAGGGUGCGUAGGCGGCGCGGUAAGUCGGGUGUGAAAUCUCGGAGCUUAACUCCGAAACUGCAUUCGAUACUGCCGUGCUUGAGGACUGGAGAGGAGACUGGAAUUCAUGGUGUAGCAGUGAAAUGCGUAGAUAUCAGGAGGAACACCGAUGGCGAAGGCAGGUCUCUGGGCUGAAACUGACGCUCAUGCACGAAAGCGUGGGGAGCAAACAGG
rnacentral:rRNA from 1 species